AUAGUAUAAAUUGGAUCAGUGAAUUUUA
rnacentral:sRNA from 1 species